UCCUCGCCCCUGUGGCGGAAAUGGGAGGGUGCCUGGAGGAGUGGAGGGAUUGGAUUUACACCCUCUUUUCCCUCCGAAGCCUCCUUGGUGGGGGCGAAGAAAGACCAUCCAACCCUGCCAAAGGCAAAAGGAUUAAGGAUAAAUGAAAGCAAGAUAAUGUAGAAGAACUACUUAGCUGCUGGGUUUUUGGAGAUGAGUGAUUUUUUUUUGUAGGGAGAAAUUAUGAAACACAUUGAAAUGGACAAAAAAUUACUGAAUGUCUUCAAUGAAAAAACAGCCAUAGUUUGGCACACCGUCCCGGGCAUUCUGUUGCUAGAGGGGCUGUCCGCUUUUCUUUGUGGUGCUCUGCACAACUCGUUCCCUCUGGAAAGGCAUCAGGGGAGGCAUUUGGGAAAGCUGGCACUUUCCUUUUGCCCUUCACAUCACAUGAUUGAUUGGAAAAAUGGGAAAUGACAAGUGGCAUCAACAAGCGGGGCAAAGAGCUAGCCCAGUCAACCUACGAUGGGCCCCAUUCAAGGGGCACAGAGGGACAGAGGGACAGAAGGCUGAAGACUGGCUGGCUGGGGUGCAGCGAUGCUACAGAACGCCCCAUGGGACUUGGCAUGAAUAGGAAGCGUGGCCAGAGUUUUCCAGAGCAGGAAAUCAAGCUGGAGAGAAUACCUGGCUUGGCCCCAGGCCUCAUUGAACCCAGAACUGUCUACCACUUUCCAUUGCACCAAGCAGAGAAGAAGAGUGAGUGGGCUGGCUGGAGCAAGGUCUUGUUUUUCUGGAACCCAACCCAAGAGACCUUUGUGUGAGAACUGGAAGCCUCACACUUACAGCAAUGGCCAGGGACAGACCUGCAGUCCUUUCCAACCAGGCAACCCACCGUGGGGUCCUGGUGAAAACAGAGAGGUGUCCCCACCACCCGCACUGAUGAGCUUGCUCUCAAGACCUUCAGGCCAUAACCCCAACUGGGAGUGGGGAUGGGCCAAAGAGCUGACCAGGCACUGAGGAGGAGCCCGGAGGUGGAGGUCAGGAGCAGCUGGAAGAGCAGGAGGAGCCCGGAGGUGGAGGAAAGUAUGAAGCAACUUUCUGUGCCAGGCACCGUGCUGGCUUUGCCCCGGGAUGGGUGAGGAAGCUGUGGAAAGAGCCAGUUGUUCGUGCAGGCAUGGAUGACUAACGUGAGAGAUGAAGAAGCCCUUUCUCUGGAGACAGUCUUGAACUAGAUGAGCUCAUGGAGCCUUUGAAAAGCAUUCACCUGCUCAGGCCUCCUGCACUUGCAUCUUCAGCUCUGACCUUUCCACUGAGCUACAGGCUCACACCUACUUGUCGUCUCCAUCUGGAUAUCUACCAGCUGGAAGCUCUGUGACAGCAGAGACCUUCUCUAUCAUGUUCCCUGCAGUAUUUCCUGCUUUGAGAGCAGUUCCUGGCACAUUAGCUGGGGCUCAAUAGAGUGCUGUUGAAAAAAUGAGCAAACCGAGACCAGGUAGUGGGGACAGCCCCAGGGGCUCCCCAUCUAGAGAAGCGAUGGAGACAAACUGGCAUCUAUAACAUGCAGCUCCAUGGAUACUUUGCUACACGGCAGACGGGGGUUGCAGGAGCCUUGAAGAUGUGACUCUACCCCGCAUGCAUGGGAGCCGGUGCAGGGGAAAGUUCCUGGAGAAGUUGUGUCCAAGUUGAGACCUAAAGGAUGAGGAGAGCCCUGAGUCACCAUGAAAGAUUUCUGGCCACCCUGCUGAAGAGGCCACAUGGGGAGGCCACAUGGAGAGGAGGAGAGGUCCACUGAUCCAGCAUUUUAGUUGAGCUUCCAGCUGACUCCAGCCUCAAGCUUUAUCUGAAUGCACCUGCAUGAGAGACUUCUAAGCAAGACCAGCAGAAGAUCCACCCGCUGAUCCCAGACAACCCAUGGAACCAUGAGAGAGCCAAUAAA
rnacentral:lncRNA from 1 species